rnacentral:rRNA from 1 species
CAGUCGCCACGGGAAUACGUAGGGAGCAAGCGUUGUUCGGAUUUACUGGGCGUAAAGGGCGCGUAGGCGGCGCGGUAAGUCACUUGUGAAAUCUCUGAGCUUAACUCAGAACGGCCAAGUGAUACUGCUGUGCUAGAGUGCGGAAGAGGCAACCGGAAUUCUUGGUGUAGCGGUGAAAUGCGUAGAUAUCAAGAGGAACACCUGAGGCGAAGGCGGGUUGCUGGGCCGACACUGACGCUGAUGCGCGAAAGCCAGGGGAGCAAACGGGAUUAGAUACCCCCGUAGUCCCUGUCUCUUUACA